CUACGGGUUGCUCCAGUGAGGAAUAUUGCACAAUGGGGGAAACCCUGAUGCAGCAACGCCGCGUGGAGGAUGACGCAUUUCGGUGUGUAAACUCCUUUUAUAUGUCAAGAAAAUGACGGUAGCAUAUGAAUAAGCACCGGCUAAUUCCGUGCCAGCAGCCGCGGUAAUACGGAGGGUGCAAGCGUUACUCGGAAUCACUGGGCGUAAAGGACGCGUAGGCUGGUUGGUAAGUCAGGUGUGAAAUCCUACAGCUUAACUGUAGAACUGCACUUGAAACUACCAACCUAGAGUAUGGGAGGGGGAGAUGGAAUUAGUGGUGUAGGGGUAAAAUCCGUAGAUAUCACUAGGAAUACCGAAAGCGAAGGCGAUCUCCUGGAACAUAACUGACGCUAAGGCGUGAAAGCGUGGGGAGCAAACAGGAUUAGAUACCCCGGUAGUC
rnacentral:rRNA from 1 species